rnacentral:lncRNA from 1 species
UUUCCACUAUAUUGUGUCACCUUGCUGAGGGUCCUCGCUGAAGCCACCUCUGAUGGGACUUCCUUUGUAGAUCUUUUUUUUCGACAUUGAGCGGAGACCAGUGCCACCACCACCGUUCACUGGCAACCAUCGCUCUCGGCCUUGACUAUGUACACCUUCUUCGGCGAUGGCACACACCUUCCGACCUUCCACUGGCCAGCACCCAAGCACAGCAUCUAGUCGGCUCCUGGCUGACUACCCC